UAUAUAUAUAUAUAUAUAUAUAUAUAUAUAUAUAUAUAUAUAUAUAUAUAUAUAUAUAUAUAUAUAUUUUUUUUAUUAAUUGUUUAAUUUGCCAGGAUAAAAAAAAUAAUUUUUACGUCUAUUUCCGACAAACAAAGUGCAAUAAAGUACAAUUUUAAUGCUUAAUUAAACAAAAUAUUUAAUUUAACACUUAACUCAAUACUUUAAUACUUAAAGUGCGAAAUGAAUACAAAAAAUUGCUUAAUUUAUAAAAACAGCACAUGCCCCACUUUUACAGGAGUAAAUAAAUUGUCACUUAUGAAUUGCAAAUCAUUUUCACAAACAGAGAUAUUUGCGAAGAAACAUUUAAUUGAACGUGAUAUUUUUCAGCUAGAAAGACUGAAAUAAUAUUUUCUUAAAAACUCAUAACUCCCCCCAAAAAUCAGUGCUUCGUUUUAUUAUUAAUAUUAUCAUUAAUUAUUAUUAUUAUUUUCUACGAGGCAAUGGCGAUGAUUUAGUUGUCACCGGUAGCACAUAUGUUUCCAUCGAAUUCUACCGGGUUAAUAUAUCAGCUACUCAUUUCUGAUUAGUAACAUUUCAUUUUAUCGUUUCAUGUCUUUAUUGUGCUUUAUCUAUACGGUAGCCAUUCUGACUAGACAUUGCGUCUAAUGAUCUAAUAUAUCUACAUACUGUCAGAAAUAUAUAUCUGUGCCUCAUGAAGAAGUACUAGUGUCUAACAAAGACGUACUAAACUGGAAUAAACGCCAGCCGUGAUUAGAGAUAUUAAUAUUGUGACCACAAAUGCGCAUACAAUUCAACGACAGAAGCGAUCUUCCAGAAAUAGUCAUGCAACUUGUAGCAGAAGUAAGCACUAGCAUCCGAUCAACGGUUCACUACUGAAUGACUUGCUCCGAAUAAACGAACAGCGUGCAAAAAUGUUAAAACGGCUUGCCACGAAGUCAGUAUUUCGUCAAUGACAAGUUAAUAGUUAUUCUAUUCGAAUGCACUCAUUGCAUUGCAUAGUCUACUUUGGAAACUUAGUCCAGUCUAGGGAGUCUUUACAGGAACGGGGAGGGAAGCUUAUGAUAAUGAAGAACGAGGUAGUAUUUUCUCACAUUAUGGACAAGCGUCUCUCAGAUAACAUAUCACUUGUUGGAAUAAGUGUCUUAAACGACUAAUUUUGUGUGCUUCUAUCGUGUAUCGUCGUCUCGUCAAGAGCCCGUAUCAACCAGUGAAAGAUGCAUAAGAUGCUACAUGUCAACUUUUUUUCCCCCCCCGCCGUUUGUGCUGCUGUAUUCGUGCAGGGUUCAAAGAUGUGAAAAAAUAGUUCCGAUUCAAGCACAAAUUCAGAGACUCGCUAACGUGCAGCGAUCACUGAAGACAAAAGGGAGGGGAAAGAUCAGAGACCGAAAGCGCUUUCGACUGGAUACUUCUAAUCACGUCGGAGUGAUGCAGUCUCCAUAGCGACGAUAGGUUCCUCGGUAACCCGCUAUUGUUGCCAUGGCAUCAUUUUUUUUUUUAAAUCCGCCAGAAUGUUUUGAAGUCUGGCUGAAGAUAAGCGGCAUUGCUGGAUUUUUAUUUAUUUUUUAAAAAACUGGUGAAAAUGGGUUUUCUCAUCUAACCAGAGGGCCAUAACAACGACGAGACAGCAGAAGAGUUGUUCUGGAGUAGCCUGUCUUCGGGAGAACCCGACUAUUAAGCCACACUCUGGGAUAAAGUGCAAUACAUGUGAAAAGUUUCGUCACUGAACAAAACACUGUCCAACAGGCACAGACUGAAGUGAAAAAAAACCACCCCGAAUGGGUGUGAUACACUGAUCGUUCACAAGAGGCUGCUGUAUCUUCGCCAAACGCUCGAAGCAGCCCGCCAUCUCUAUUCUCCCACAGGAUGGACGUCCCGCCUUGUCUUAACAAACAGCAAGAAGCGGAUGAAGCUUUAAAGGGGUUUAUCCUCCGGAGGCCAGGUAGCCUGUGUGGACCCCAGCUUGCCAAACGUAGGGGCUCGUGGACUGUUCCCUGCUCCUCCACGCUUCAGGAGGAGGUGCCUUCAAAAACACAUCGCCCUCGUCCAGCCUCCGGGCCCUGAUUCCCCCUCCGGGCUAGACGGCCCCAGCGCACCACUUGCCUUUUCUGUGUCAGUAUUCUGUCUCUUUACCAAAAGAAGAUGGACUCCUGUGUUGCUGUGCUGUUUCUGCUGCUAAAUGUAAGACUCUAAACUCCACAUAAGUGCUCCUACACGCUCCCACCGCCGUAGCCCAGCAGUGUGGAGGGCUGUGCUAGUUACGCUAGCUCCAUCGGUUGUCAUGUGUCAUCAGGCUGUGAUGUCGUCUUUGACGUUGCUGUAUAAACUGAUAGUCAUGAA